CAUUCUCAGAGCAAGCAAAAGCAAACUUACAAAGAAACAUCUGAGAAGGCAGGUGAAGGACCUUUGGGGCACUUAAUGUGGGAGGACAACUGGGAAAUGCAGCCCGGAACUCAAGCUUACAGGUUACAGUCCAUUACUGGAGAAGUUGGGACGAAAACUCAAGCAGAAAUAGAAGCAGGAGUCAUGAAGGAAAGCUGCUUGCUGUCUCCAUCUUCAUGGCUUGCUCAGUUUGCUUCCUUACAAAAUCAGGACCAUGUAUCCAGAGAGCGCACUUUCCACAGUGGGCCAGACCCUUUCACGUCAAUCAUUAGUCAAGAAACGCCUACAGGAGCACUUCAUGGAGGAAGCAUCUCAGUUGAGGUUUCUUCUUCUGAAAUGGCUAUCGUUUGUUUCAGGUUGGCAACUCAAUCCAGCACAGGGGAAGUUGUUGUGGCUUGUAUGUUUCUUUUUCCUUUUGUUCAGGAACUUGUCUGUUUCAUCUAGGUUUCAUUUUUCUUGUCUGGAGUAGCUCCUGCAAUUCUCGUUAUCCUCUUAGCAUUUGCAGGAGCUACAGCAUGUUGUUUUGUUAUGAGGCUGAGUUUCUGCCCUUUUCUUGUCUUGUUGUUGACUGGUCAGUUUCUUUUUAUCAUUUUGUUUGAAGAAUAAGGUAUUUAUUUCGUUAUAUUUUUUCCCUGCUUCCAAAUUCACAG
rnacentral:lncRNA from 1 species